CCUACGGGAGGCAGCAGUGAGGAAUAUUGGUCAAUGGACGAGAGUCUGAACCAGCCAAGUAGCGUGAAGGAUGACUGCCCUAUGGGUUGUAAACUUCUUUUAUAUGGGAAUAAAAUGUUCCACGUGUGGGAUUUUGUAUGUACCAUAUGAAUAAGGAUCGGCUAACUCCGUGCCAGCAGCCGCGGUAAUACGGAGGAUCCGAGCGUUAUCCGGAUUUAUUGGGUUUAAAGGGAGCGUAGGUGGAUUGUUAAGUCAGUUGUGAAAGUUUGCGGCUCAACCGUAAAAUUGCAGUUGAAACUGGCAGUCUUGAGUACAGUAGAGGUGGGCGGAAUUCGUGGUGUAGCGGUGAAAUGCUUAGAUAUCACGAAGAACUCCGAUUGCGAAGGCAGUUCACUGGACUGCCACUGACAUUGAUGCUCGAAAGUGUGGGUAUCAAACAGGAUUAGAUACCCGAGUAGUC
rnacentral:rRNA from 1 species